rnacentral:rRNA from 1 species
UACGAGGGGGGCAAGCGUUGUUCGGAAUUAUUGGGCGUAAAGGGUGCGUAGGCGGUUUGGUAAGUCUGAUGUGAAAUCUAUGGGCUCAACUCAUAGUCUGCAUCGGAAACUGCCGGGCUUGAGUGUGGGAGAGGUGAGUGGAAUUCCUGGUGUAGCGGUGAAAUGCGCAGAUAUCAGGAAGAACACCAAUGGCGAAAGCAGCUCUCUGGGACGGUACUGACGCUGAGACGCGAAAGCGUGGGGAGCGAACAGG